GUCAUGAUCUGUGCUGCAUAACCAUCUCUGCUGAGUGUUGUUUACAGGUGGGUGUGUCUGGAGAGCCCAGCUGUGCCAAAUCAGCUCAUCAGCGAUCAGGGGAUUUAAGGAGCAGCUGGACAUCUCACCAUUAGAUGAUACUCAGUCUUGGGUAGUUUCUAGCCCUCCUUUUGACCUUCCUAAAAACUAUUUUAGAAUUUGUUUGUCCACCUGUUCCUGCCCUUCUGGCAGUUAACCUGCUCUGCCCUCCUGAUUCCUCCAGGUUCCAGUCAUCUGUUCAUCUCCACUCUCUGCUAUAUCUCCGGAACCAUCUACCACAUUCCAGUCCUGCUGUUUACCCCUGAUCACCAGCUCUCCGUCACCCACCUAUCCACCUGCAGCUCCUCGUCUCCCCAUCCAGCCAGGUCUGACUAACCCCCCCACAAAAUACCGGAUCAUCCAGGAAACAACCCCACGGAUUCCUCCAGUCCUGCAGAAGCUUCAGCUACCUCUCCCAUUCAAAAUAAAUCAUUUAAACUUACCUUCUGUCUCUCGGUGGUGAUUCUUCAUGUCGUGGGUCAAGAAAUUACCCUCAAACAUGACAGGACUGGGCCAGACUGAGGUUGAAGAGGUGCUGCAGAAUCCCACAGAGCUGCUCUGCACAGGCUUUCAGUACCCUGGGGCUGACAUAAUCUGGACCUUCAGCCUUGUUCCUGUUCAGUCUCUCCAGCUGCCUCUUCACCUGACUUCUAGAGACAGAAAGGUGAGGGGGGGAGGUAAAUGGGGCAACAGCAUCUCCUGACUUGGUUGAAGACAGAUUUAUAGAACCAGAAGAGUCCAUGGCUGCGCUAGAGGACAAAAGAGCUGGCGUGUGACAGGAAAAUGUUGGAUCAGAGGAGGAUGGUAUGUCUGAUUGGCUGGGGACAGGCGAGGAGGAUGCUGGGUUUGUUCCUGAAUUGAACCUAUUUGUUUGUUACAAACGCUCCCGCCUCUCUUCUUGUUCUUAUUUGUGGUCUUAUGGCACUUGGCAAACAACAAUUUGGUGCAUUACCGCCACCAACUGGAUUGGAGUGGAAUGACUACCAAUCACUUCCUGUUUGUGCAUCACCAUCUGAAUAACCCUCUUAUGACCAUAAUUAAAACAGGGCCGCCUGUUUUUUCUUUUUUUUAUCUUAUGGCUGUAAAAUUGUAAUAAAAAGUGCAAAGUGUGUGUAACUCUUCUCCUUUUUUCAGAACAACCUCAGCUUUCAGUGUAUGGUUUGUAUUUGGAAUUUAUUUCUAUUAAAGCCUUUAAAAAAUCAGCAUAAAAGUGAAAAAAGCAAAAAACGUAUUUGAAUUUUUUACAUUUAUUACUGAGCAGGAACUUCAAAAUUACUGGGCAAACAAUUUGGAAUGAACACUUUAAACUUUGAACUGUAAUGCAUCUAUUCUUAAAAAAAGUGUGAGCCUUGGUAUCUUUUAUAGCAGUUUUUAAGACCAUUUAUUUUUGUAAACUUUUAGACGUUUUUCUUUGAUGUGGUAGGCCUUGAAGCAGUUUCUCUCCAGCUGCAGGCAGAGUCCCACUCUGCACACCUCACACUGCCAUGGGGUGCUUCUCUUGCACACCGUGCACUGCUGUACCAAAAACUUUUGUUUUGGCAAAAAUAAUUAUUUAUCAUAAAAAGAUAAAUAAUGCUGGAAUGAAGCUGAAUCUGUCAUGUUCUGUGUCCCUCUGUCCCCAGCCUC